rnacentral:rRNA from 1 species
AAAUAGAGGACAGUGGCGGACUGGUGAGUAACACGUAAGCAACCUGCCUAUCAGAGGGGAACAACAGUUAGAAAUGACUGCUAAUACCGCAUAUGCCUUAGAAUCACAUGAUUCAAAAGGGAAAGAAGCAAUUCGCUGAUAGAUGGGCUUGCGUCUGAUUAGAUAGUUGGUGAGGUAACGGCCCACCAAGUCGACGAUCAGUAGCCGAACUGAGAGGUUGAACGGCCACAUUGGGACUGAGAUACGGCCCAGACUCC